rnacentral:lncRNA from 1 species
AGGGUAGUAGUGCUUUAAGAAUCUGCCGUUGAUGUAGACCUCUUGUAUUAUGUAAGGUCCAUCCCACUUUGAUGUGAACUUUCUUUUUGUCUUGUGAGUUGUGAUGAUGGGCUUUGGUAAUGCCAAGACAAGAUCUCCAAUUUGGAAAGACCUUAGUCGAACCUUCUUGUUGAACGCCUUGGAUAGUCGUGAUUGGUAGCAUUCCAAGUGUUGUUGAGCUUCGAGCCUCCUUUCAUCGAGUGCUUCCAACUCUUGAAGUCACAACUUUGCGUUUUCCUCUUCAGUUAAGCCUUCUUGUACAACCAUGCUUAGUGAAGAG